rnacentral:rRNA from 1 species
UACGAAGGUCCCGAGCGUUAUCCGGAUUUAUUGGGCUUAAAGGGUGCGUAGGCGGGUUAUUAAGUCAGUGGUGAAAGCCUUCAGCUCAACUGAAGAAUUGCCAUUGAUACUGAUGAUCUUGAGUAUGAUUGAGGUGGGCGGAAUGUGUCAUGUAGCGGUGAAAUGCUUAGAUAUGACACAGAACACCGAUUGCGAAGGCAGCUCACUAAGCCAUAACUGACGCUGAUGCACGAAAGCGUGGGGAGCAAACAGG